UGGGGAAUUUUCCGCAAUGGGCGAAAGCCUGACGGAGCAACGCCGCGUGAGGGAUGAAGGCCUCUGGGCUGUAAACCUCUUUUCUCAAGGAAGAAGAUCUGACGGUACUUGAGGAAUAAGCCACGGCUAAUUCCGUGCCAGCAGCCGCGGUAAUACGGGAGUGGCAAGCGUUAUCCGGAAUUAUUGGGCGUAAAGCGUCCGCNGGCGGCCUCGUAAGNCUGUCGUUAAAGCGUGGAGCUUAACUCCAUUUCAGCGAUGGAAACUGCGAGGCUAGAGUGUGGUAGGGGCAGAGGGAAUUCCCGGUGUAGCGGUGAAAUGCGUAGAUAUCGGGAAGAACACCAGUGGCGAAGGCGCUCUGCUGGGCCAUAACUGACGCUCAUGGACGAAAGCCAGGGGAGCGAAAGGGAUUAGAUACCCCUGUAGU
rnacentral:rRNA from 1 species